ACAGAAUCUAAAAUAUAAAACAUAUUCUGCUUUGUUUAACACUUUUUUUGAAGUCUGAGUCAGGACUAAACUUUUCAUCACCUGUGUCCUCUCCUCCUUCUCAGCCUCCAGGUCCUCACCCUCCAGGCGGAUCCUCUGGAUAUCAAGGAGCAGAGUAGUCCUGUACUUGUUUAGUCCGCCUGGUGUUGCACUGCUCGCCCUUGCAGAGAACUCCCUGCUCACACACAGAAGCAUGGCACAAAGUUAGACCGACUCUCAGACCUGGACUCAGGCCAUAAACUCUGUCUUUACCUUCUGGUUGAAAGGCCACUUGAGCAGAGCGUCACUCAGUCCCCUCAUCACCACAAAGAACAGGGACAGGUGGCUGCCACGCCCCGUCCCAUCUCCGUUCAGGUAGAUCCGCAGACACAUCUUAUAGCCGUACUUACUGGUGUAGAAGGCUGGAAGGGAACAGGAGGGAAGUUUAACUCUGAUGUGUUUGGAUUGGAUAAAUCACUCUGAGGCCCUCUUCUCUGUCAUGAUGGAUAUUAUUACCUGGUGAAAACAUGGCCGGGGCUCGACCUGCGAUGGCAUCCUGUCUCUUUUUGGCAAAAUCCGAUAUCCUCCAGACGAAGACGCCGUCGAAGGUGGAGGCAGACAUCUCCCUCAGCCGGCCCUCCAUCUCAGCCACCGUCAGGUCCUUCAGCCCCACCGUCCUCUCCAGCUGUCGCACCUGCAGAGGAAACACACUGAGAUUCAACAAGGUACAACCCGGGUCAAGAUCAGCUCUGGCAGGAUAAUGCUGAGACAGAACCCCCAUCCAGAGUCUCCUUCUGCUGGGACACACUACGCAGCAACAAUUCAUUAAAUGUUCAAACUUA